GAUGAACGCUGGCGGCGUGCCUAAUACAUGCAAGUCGAGCGAACGGACGAGAAGCUUGCUUCUCUGAUGUUAGCGGCGGACGGGUGAGUAACACGUGGAUGACCUACCUAUAAGACUGGGAUAACUUCGGGAAACCGGAGCUAAUACCGGAUAAUAUUUUGAACCGCAUGGUUCAAAAGUGAAAGACGGUCUUGCUGUCACUUAUAGAUGGAUCCGCGCUGCAUUAGCUAGUUGGUAAGGUAACGGCUUACCAAGGCAACGAUGCAUAGCCGACCUGAGAGGGUGAUCGGCCACACUGGAACUGAGACACGGUCCAGACUCCUACGGGAGGCAGCAGUAGGGAAUCUUCCGCAAUGGGCGAAAGCCUGGCGGAGCAACGCCGCGUGAGUGAUGAAGGUCUUCGGAUCGUAAAACUCUGUUAUUAGGGAAGAACAUAUGUGUAAGUAACUGUGCACAUCUUGACGGUACCUAAUCAGAAAGCCACGGCUAACUACGUGCCAGCAGCCGCGGUAAUACGUAGGUGGCAAGCGUUAUCCGGAAUUAUUGGGCGUAAAGCGCGCGUAGGCGGUUUUUUAAGUCUGAUGUGAAAGCCCACGGCUCAACCGUGGAGGGUCAUUGGAAACUGGAAAACUUGAGUGCAGAAGAGGAAAGUGGAAUUCCAUGUGUAGCGGUGAAAUGCGCAGAGAUAUGGAGGAACACCAGUGGCGAAGGCGACUUUCUGGUCUGUAACUGACGCUGAUGUGCGAAAGCGUGGGGAUCAAACAGGAUUAGAUACCCUGGUAGUCCACGCCGUAAACGAUGAGUGCUAAGUGUUAGGGGGUUUCCGCCCCUUAGUGCUGCAGCUAACGCAUUAAGCACUCCGCCUGGGGAGUACGACCGCAAGGUUGAAACUCAAAGGAAUUGACGGGGACCCGCACAAGCGGUGGAGCAUGUGGUUUAAUUCGAAGCAACGCGAAGAACCUUACCAAAUCUUGACAUCCUUUGACAACUCUAGAGAUAGAGCUUUCCCCUUCGGGGGACAAAGUGACAGGUGGUGCAUGGUUGUCGUCAGCUCGUGUCGUGAGAUGUUGGGUUAAGUCCCGCAACGAGCGCAACCCUUAAGCUUAGUUGCCAUCAUUAAGUUGGGCACUCUAAGUUGACUGCCGGUGACAAACCGGAGGAAGGUGGGGAUGACGUCAAAUCAUCAUGCCCCUUAUGAUUUGGGCUACACACGUGCUACAAUGGACAAUACAAAGGGCAGCGAAACCGCGAGGUCAAGCAAAUCCCAUAAAGUUGUUCUCAGUUCGGAUUGUAGUCUGCAACUCGACUACAUGAAGCUGGAAUCGCUAGUAAUCGUAGAUCAGCAUGCUACGGUGAAUACGUUCCCGGGUCU
rnacentral:rRNA from 1 species